rnacentral:rRNA from 1 species
UACGUAGGGUCCGAGCGUUGUCCGGAAUUAUUGGGCGUAAAGGGCGCGUAGGCGGCGCGAUAAGUCAAAGGUGAAAUCCCUCGGCUCAACUGAGGAACUGCCUUUGAAACUGUCGGGCUUGAGGCCGGGAAGGGGUAGCGGAAUUCCCAGUGUAGCGGUGAAAUGCGUAGAUAUUGGGAGGAACACCAGUGGCGAAGGCGGCUACCUGGACCGGUUCUGACGCUGAUGCGCGAAAGCGUGGGUAGCAAACAGG